UACGUAGGGUGCAAGCGUUAAUCGGAAUUACUGGGCGUAAAGCGUGCGCAGGCGGCUUUGCAAGACAGAUGUGAAAUCCCCGGGCUCAACCUGGGAACUGCAUUUGUGACUGCAAGGCUAGAGUACGGUAGAGGGGAUGGAAUUCCGCGUGUAGCAGUGAAAUGCGUAGAUAUGCGGAGGAACACCGAUGGCGAAGGCAAUCCCUGGACCUGUACUGACGCUCAUGCACGAA
rnacentral:rRNA from 1 species